rnacentral:tRNA from 1 species
GGGCCCAUAGUUUAACGGCAAAACACACCCUUCGCAUGGGUGAAAUCUGAGUUCAAUUCUCAGUGGGUCCA